rnacentral:tRNA from 1 species
GGGGUCGUAGUUCAGCUGGUUAGAACGUCCCCCUGUCACGGGGAAGGUCGCGAGUUCGAAUCUCGUCGAUCCCGCCA